GACGAUUGGAUCCGCGGCGGCUGAUGUCUACUCAGGCAGGUAUGCAUCCUUUCCCCACUCGAUCCACAAAUUUUUUUCCCCAUUUCCUGUAGUGACGAAUCGAGGGACGCGGUGGUUUGGUGCUUCCCCUGCGGUGGUAGGGCGGUGACUGGUGGGUGCUCCCCCUGCGAUGGUACGGGGUGGUGGUGCCCCGUCGCAGUGGCGAUUUUUGUGCUCCGCCAUGUGUUUUGUCGUUGUGCUCCCCGGCUUUGGUGGUGGUGCUCCGCGGCUGUGGUAGGAGGAGGUGUGGUAGUUUGUACUAGGAGAGGAGGUCGCCGGUGUAAUAGAAAGAGGUGGUCGCCGGCAUAGUAGGAGACGAGGUGGUCGCCGGUGUUGCAGAGUUCAGUUUUUGUUUCUGAAAUUUAUGUAGCUCAUAACAUUGUUGUACCUUCUUACCGCCGCAUAGCAAUGUCUGAUUUAUGUAGUUGAUUUUUGUGUGUAUACCUCCAUGUUUAUCUGAAUUUUUGGUAGUGGAUUGCCUGUAGCAUCAUAGAUUAACAGAUGUGUUUCAGAAAUGUUAGUGGAUUGCGUGUAGCAUCAUGCUUGGUAGUGAAUUUCAGAAAUGACAGAACCAUUUUUGCAGUAAACAAUGUUCAGCAGAUGUGUUUCAUUCAGGGUUUUGUAACAUUUUGUAGCAUUAUUUUGAAUCAUUGUUUGAGUUACAUUGUUUCUGCCACUGUCUAUAAGAACAACAUGGGUGAGAGUUGUGAGAGCUUGCUGGUGUUGCAUUUUUUUGAGUUCAUUAUAGUUUGUUUGUUUUCAAAUGGACACAUGAGCUGUGGCAGUUGCAGGAUUAAAGUUGUACUUGGUUUUCCUGGAGCUCAUAACUCUUUCAUCUGAAUUUUGUAGUGGAUUGCUGUAGCGACCAGACCUCAAAUGGUCUGUGCUGCUGUGCACCAGUGUCAUCCCUGGAUCAGUAAUGCUGACACGCACAGUACAAAUGGAGGAUUUAUAACAGAGUAGCAAUCACACACUUAUUACAUCGAAUAUCUCCGAAGAGAUUAAGUAUGAUAAGCAUGGCUUAAGGCCAUCUAAUAACGAUAACAGCGGAAGACUUGGAAGAUAAGUGAGUCCAUCAACUCCAGCGGCAUCACUGAGUAUAAGACCACGACCUAAG
rnacentral:lncRNA from 1 species